rnacentral:lncRNA from 1 species
GCAUGCAUCACACCAAAGAACAAAUCAUUCAACUCAACCAGAUCUAAUUACUACUAACGGCAACCCAAAGUUCCAGCAGCUCAUAACCAACUAUGCUAGUUACUACGUGAAAUACUAAACCUGCAGCAGUUCCAACCAACACUGAACCUGCACCAGCCAGCUAAACCAAAGAUAAUAUGGCAGCACCAAAACCUGUCCAGCAGCUGCUAAAUUUAUAGAACUCAAGAUUCCUUUCCAAAACAAAUCUACACAUCCAGAACCUACAUGAAGUACUUUAGUCUAGAAUAAAAUCAUGCCUCCAUUCAUCUUUGUGCACCAGUUUCACCAAGCUCUAAAGUGACAUUUUGCUGCACUAAAAAUGAAGAUGUGAAUCAACUGCACCAGCAGCAAGGUCUGACGCAGCUUCGUCAAACCAAAAUGAUUCCAGUGUGCAAAAUAGUCUUGAACAAAACGCUGUAUCAAGCAAACUGGUCCAGCACCAAUUCCAGCUCACCUUCCAGCAUCCAGAAAGCAGUUCCAUCAUCUUAAACUUGAUAUAACCCAUGCACAAAUACUGCACUAAGUCCAAAUAAUGACCAUCCAGUGCACUAAGCAUCGCAUAUGCGUCAACUGCACCUAUAUAAGCACGUUAACUCAAUCCAAGUGAUCAAUGCACUCCCCAGCAAAGUCCUUCAUCAAGCAACAAGCAUAACACCCCAAGAACAACACUAAAACCACCACAUAACCAGGAGAUUUUCUCCUUACACUAAAAUAAACUUUAGCGCUAGUUUUUCCUAAAAAAAACAGAAGUUUUACAUCAUAAGAACCAUGCAAUAUAAUGUCUUAACCCAUAAAAGUGAUCACAAGCUUAUAGCACUGAAAAAUUCCAACAAAAAUACCACUACUGCACAUUAGAAUCUCCUAAGCUCAUACAAUCAUGCUCUAAACUUUCAUAAAAAAAAAAACACUACACUAAUUCUAUUUAUAACACUAAUACAUAUAUCCACCAACCUAUUUCCACAAAAUACACAACACCAACCAUUAAUUCUAGGCCUCAAUUUAUAAACCAAAAGGAUGAAUCAAGCUGCAAACAACCUGCGUCAGUUUUCUUGAUCAAAGACUUAACAUCUAUACCAACCAAUAAUUACAUCAAGCUGAACCGAAACAACUAUGAGCACAAAAAAAUUUAUGGACUGCACCAGCAACAACGUUCAUAACUCACAACCUUAACAAUAUGCAUCCAGACCAUAAUUGCAUAAGAAAACAGCGUUUAUUAUUUAUUUUUGAAACAACACAACAACAUUUUCAAUUCCCGAAUGACACUAGUCACACAGCCACAUUUCUCUGCUCUGAUAAUAGAAUUUUAUACUCUAAAAGAUGAAGUACAUACCUGACCUUGUUGCUCUUUUAAUUGAAUUAAGCCCUACAAAACAGAAUUAUAUACCUACCCCAAAUAUUCAACGUAUGCUCACAAAAUAAUUACCAAUAAUAGCACAAAAACAAAAACCACGUUCAUCACCAAAAACAACCAUUCAUAUUCAGCAUACAAUAAUUUACAGAACCAAAAACCAAGGUUUAGCACCCAUUACAUCUUUUUCCAGCUCUUAAUGAUCUUAAUUUCGCAGCCACUUCCUUUGCUAGUUCUCACCUCAACAGAAGCACAAACAUUUUCUAAGGCCACAACACUCACGUUCUAUAUCUCUUCUAAUAUGCUGUUUUACAGGGUACACAAAAUAUAUGUGUAUCAAAUAAAAUUAUUGAAAUGAGAAGAGAACAAUUUUAAUUUACCUUAGGAGGAAGCCAGGCGUCUAUGUCAAAAUCAAAAACUCAUUCAAAGUUGACCUUAAUAUUUUGUAUGAGCUUCUUUCUGUCUGCACCAUAGCCUUUGGUGAGAUUUGGCCGCCACCGCCUUCUUGAACAUUCUCUACAGCUAUCGCAUUCACUCGCUUAGGUUCUCUACACCAAAUACAACCCACACCUGUGGGUUAAGGUUGGACACUGCUACCGCUGUCGAGACGCCACUAGAACGUUGUUGCUGACAUCAGAAUGUCGCCGGAAGAAUGUUGAAAUGUCAUUGCAACAGUGGACGCCGGAACGUUGCCGCUGUUUGGAACGAUGGAACAUUGCAUGCUGUCGGUGUACGCUGUCCUUGUUGGAACGUCGGACAACGAAUUCGCCGAGUUGGUUGUUAGAAUGAAAAGGCUGGGAUGUGAAAAGAGUUCAAGAGUUCCCAAGUGAAAACGGAAAUGUAUCAGACUUUUGGCUAAG